rnacentral:rRNA from 1 species
UGCGUAGGUGGUUAUUUAAGUCCGUUGUGAAAGCCCUGGGCUCAACCUGGGAACUGCGGUGGAUACUGGAUGACUAGAAUGUGGUAGAGGGUAGCGGAAUUCCUGGUGUAGCAGUGAAAUGCGUAGAGAUCAGGAGGAACAUCCAUGGCGAAGGCAGCUACCUGGACCAACAUUGACACUGAGGCACGAAAGCGUGGGGAGCAAACA